rnacentral:tRNA from 3 species
GUUCUGGUAGCUCAGCUGGAUAGAGCAACGGAUUUCUAAUCCGUAGGUCGCAGGUUCGAAUCCUGCCCGGAACGCCA